CCUACGGGUGGCAGCAGUGAGGAAUAUUGGUCAAUGGGCGUAAGCCUGAACCAGCCAAGUCGCGUGAGGGAUGAAGGUUCUAUGGAUUGUAAACUUCUUUUGUAAAGGAAUAAAGUGAGGCACGUGUGCCUUUUUGUAUGUACUUUAUGAAUAAGGAUCGGCUAACUCCGUGCCAGCAGCCGCGGUAAUACGGAGGAUCCGAGCGUUAUCCGGAUUUAUUGGGUUUAAAGGGAGCGUAGACGGGUUGUUAAGUCAGUGGUGAAAGUUUGCGGCUCAACCGUAAAAUUGCAAUUGAUACUGGCAGUCUUGAGUACAGUUGAGGUAGGCGGAAUGCGUGGUGUAGCGGUGAAAUGCUUAGAUAUCACGAAGAACUCCGAUUGCGAAGGCAGCUUACUAAACUGCAACUGACAUUGAUGCACGAAAGUGUGGGUAUCAAACAGGAUUAGAUACCCGAGUAGUC
rnacentral:rRNA from 1 species